rnacentral:rRNA from 1 species
UAAUACGUAGGAGGCGAGCGUUAUCCGGAUUUACUGGGCGUAAAGCGGGCGUAGGCGGUCCUUCAAGUCGGAUGUAAAAUCUCCCGGCUCAACUGGGAUGGACCAUUCGAAACUGCUGGGCUUGAGGAUAGCAGAGGGAGGUGGAAUUCCCGGUGUAGUGGUGAUAUGCGUAGAUAUCGGGAGGAACACCAGUGGCGAAGGCGGCCUCCUGGGCUAUUUCUGACGCUGAGGCCCUAAAGCGUGGGGAGCGAACAGGAUUAGAUACCCUGGUAGUCCACGCUGUAAACGAUGGAUACUAGGUAUGGGGAGUAUCGACCCUCUCCGUGCCGAAGUUAACGCUUUAAGUGUCCCGCCUGGGGAGUACGGUCGCAAGACUA